rnacentral:rRNA from 1 species
AAUAGAUACCCAGGUAGUCCACGCCGUAAACGAUGGAUGCUAGCUGUUAGGAGUAUCGACCCUCCUAGUAGCGUAGCUAACGCGUUAAGCAUCCCGCCUGUGGAGUACGGUCGCAAGACUAAAACAUAAAGGAAUUGACGGGGACCCGCACAAGCGGUGGAGCGUGUUGUUUAAUUCGAUGGUAAGCGAAGAACCUUACCCAGGCUUGACAUCCCACUAAGGACUCCGAAAGGAGACUGUGUCUUCGGACCGUGGUGACAGGUGUUGCAUGGCCGUCGUCAGCUCGUGUCGUGAGAUGUUUGGUUAAGUCCAUCAACGAGCGCAACCCUUAUAGUUAGUUGUAUUUUUCUAGCUAGACUGCCCUGGCAACAGGGAGGAAGGAGGGGAUGAUGUCAGGUCAGUAUUACCCUUACGCCUGGGGCUACAAACACGCUACAAUGGCCGGUACAAAGGGCAGCCAACCGCGAGGGGAGCAAAUCCCAUCAAAGCCGGUCUCAGUUCGGAUUGCAGGCUGAAACUCGCCUGCAUGAAG